CCAAAGGCUCUUUUCAGAGCCACCCAUUCUUUCAGUAAAAGAGCU
rfam:Meleagris gallopavo isolate NT-WF06-2002-E0010 breed Aviagen turkey brand Nicholas breeding stock chromosome 1, whole genome shotgun sequence.